UGCCAAGCGACUGUGGAGCGCUCCUUUCACUCCCCUUCAAAUUGUCCUUUGUUGUUCUGGAGCUGAUUGUCCCACCCCUGCAAGAAGGUCUGACUGUGCUUUUCAGGAUGAGAAGCUGCUCAGGUGUGCGAGCAAGACAGAGACUGGAGCAAGAGCCCUGAUGUAACCUGAGCUGGAGCCAGCCCUGCAGGGACAAAUGGCCCCCCACAACCUUGGCCUCUCCAUCAGAAUGGAACUUCCUGUUUUCCCAGAAUUCUUCUGAUCAAAGACUACAUCUACUCAUUUGAUAAGAAAUUGAUGUGUCCCUCCAGAUCUUUAUAGGGGCAACAGUGUAACUUGGCUGUUACCUGGUUGUCACCAUCUGUGUUUUAAAGAAGACAGCAUCUGGUUUCAAACUCUGGUUCUGUCCCUUAUUAACCAUGUGAUCUCGAGCAAAUUACUUACACCCACUGAGCCUGAGUUCUCCACCUGCAACCAAAGUCCCCUCGUGUAAUGUGCUGUGAAGGUUAAAUGAGUUGAUAAUUGUAAUGCCACAGUGCACCUGACAUAAAGCUUCGGCUGAACCCCCAGUUUGCAGUUUUGCUUUCUCCAUUGCAUCUGGAGAUAAAUAGUCAGCAGUGACUUGUUCUAUGAGGAGGGAAUGUGUACUCUUCAGCCCAAUGUUAAUAUCUUUCUUAGCCCAAAUGGAGCAACAGGUUUCAUGACUCAUCUCAGAAGUCUCACAGAGAGAUGCCAGAUUCUAUUUCUGCAGUCUGGAUGACAAUAGUUACCUUUAUAGAGCCGUAGUGUUGUUUGUUAGAGAAAGUACAGUGUGGGCCUGUGAAGUGGAUAUUUUUAUUACCCCUAAUUGACAAAGGGACAGGAAAAAGGGGGUGCGGGUGUGAAGGCACUGCCGAGGCGCCCUGUGAUGUGCAGAUGUAGAAUAAGACAGACUAAUGUUUUUUCCACUGGGUCCAAAGGCCAGAAGAAAGACAGAGAUAACAAACAAACGUAAUUGCUAAAAAGAAACGGGAUGACUGGGGAGGCUUAGCACGUGGGUAGGGGGGGUGGCAACUCUGAAGUCCGUUAUUUUGAAGAACACAUGAGCAGCUCUAGGUUCAGAACUGACAUCUGAAGGCUGAUCUGCAACCUGCAUCGUUAAAGCCAUAACCAGUGGGGAGAACUCAGCAGGCCGAUUGCUUACUAUCUUUUCCUCAGAGUCAGAGGUGUGAAGCUCUUGCCACUCCUGGCAAAUGUUUAAUAUCAGUAAAUGGGCAGGAGGUGGCUGAAACAAGAUGCUAACCUCCUUCUCCACAGGCUCAGGAACCUGUCUGUGGACCUCCCAAAGCAUUUUUCCAAAAGAAACAGUAAAAAAAAAAAAUAGCUCAGAUAUUUUACUCAUUCACAUAUGGCAUUAAUGCUGGGUAAUGUCUAUUUGCUGCUGGGAAAGGGGCAUAUAGGUGCUACAAAGAUCUUAACUCUGUUUGAAAAGAAUUUUUUAAGACAUUUAUACCUUUUUUUCUUCCAAUAUUAAAAGACUUAUGAGAUGAAAGGCGUUGUGUUGAUAAUUUGGUCUGUUUAGGGAUGGAAAUUCCAAUUGGCUUUAGCUCUCAUGCCAAUUUAGCAUUUAAAGUCUCCCCCCCUUCCCUGUCCAAAUUUAUUUCCUGUCCUCUCCUUCACAAACGCAACCCCUUCUCACAGUGCCCAUCCCACCUGAGGCUGGCAGCCCCAGCCCUCUCCUGAAUCCUCCCUGCCUGGCACCCUCUGUAUUGUGAGGUUCGAAUGGAAGGCACCUGCCAGGAGAAUCUUCCCUGGUGCCCAAGCCAGACGGCAGCUCUCCUGUUGAAUUCCCCUUCUACUUCCCAACUGGCAGAUGCUCUGUCUCCUUUUACUGUUAAUUUUGGAAUGUACUUUAUCCCCCUCCUCCAUUACAAGCUUUCAGGGGGCUGAAUCCU